rnacentral:rRNA from 1 species
AUUGAACGCUGGCGGCAGGCCUAACACAUGCAAGUCGAACGGUAACAGGAAGAAGCUUGCUUCUUUGCUGACGAGUGGCGGACGGGUGAGUAAUGUCUGGGAAGCUGCCUGAUGGAGGGGGAUAACUACUGGAAACGGUAGCUAAUACCGCUUAACGUCGCAAGACCAAAGAGGGGGACCUUCGGGCCUCUUGCCAUCGGAUGUGCCCAGAUGGGAUUAGCUAGUAGGUGGGGUAACGGCUCACCUAGGCGACGAUCCCUAGCUGGUCUGAGAGGAUGACCAGCCACACUGGAACUGAGACACGGUCCAGACUCCUACGGGAGGCAGCAGUGGGGAAUAUUGCACAAUGGGCGCAAGCCUGAUGCAGCCAUGCCGCGUGUAUGAAGAAGGCCUUCGGGUUGUAAAGUACUUUCAGCGGGGAGGAAGGGAGUAAAGUUAAUACCUUUGCUCAUUGACGUUACCCGCAGAAGAAGCACCGGCUAACUCCGUG